UUGUGUUUACAGGUGAGGAGAAUUCCAGGGCUGUGUUUGCUCUGGAGAUCCCAGCUGAUAUACCACUAGUGCAGAUCCACACACAGAUAUGCUUAUUCUUCAACAAACAAAAUGCAUCCUGGCUUCCUAGGUUUCUCCCUCCCAUUGAGUAUGUUGUAGAUCUUGAAUCCAUCCCCUCAAAGUGCAGUGCUACACCGAAAAGUGACUAUAUACACCUGGCCCUAAAUUCAGCAGCUCUGCUCCCUGUGUGUAUUCAGCCUGAGAACUACUGGCUCUAGUGACAAGUGUAUUUUUGGACAGCUUUCUGAUGCCUGUUUGCCCUGCAGAGCCAACACAGCUCAGGGAGAGGAAGCUGUGAGACAUUAACAGAAUUGUUUACGAGGUUCCAGUCUGUGACACCCGUUCACACCCAUUGCCCACAUGGAGUUUCACAAGUAUCACAGAGGCCAUUGAUUGCCCUGCAGAAUCCUUGUUACUGGUGAUGACAUGGGAGAAGGCUAGCGGCUAGUUUGACUUUCAGGCCAGGUCUACGCUUUGCCAGUACAGCUCUGUUGGUCGGGGUGUGAUCCCUGAUCAAGACAGCUGUGCUAGCAAAAGCCACUAGUGUACCAGCAAAUGUGUGCUCUUACUGGUAUAGCUUGUUUCACAGGUGGGGGUGGUUUUGCAAUACCAGUAUCUCCAGACUAGGAGCACUUUGUGGCUAUAGUGUACUGGUCUUCCUAUACUGGUGAAGCACUCCUAGUAUAGACACAGCCUCAGGCUUGUCUAUGUUACAAAACUAUACUGCAUUUGAA